AAGGGCACCACAAGAACGCGUGGAGCAUGUGGCUUAAUUUGACUCAACGCGGGAAAUCUUACCGGGUCCGGACACACUGAGGAUUGACAGGCGACCAUUUGAUUGGUCGAUUUUUUGAGCUAGUCCUUUCAUGAUUAUGUGAUAGGUGGUGCAUGGCCGUUCUUAGUUCGUGGAGUGAUCUGUCUGCUUAAUUGCGUUUCGCCUGGGAGAAGUUAUGAUUUUCCCCUGUCUCUCUUCCUGUGAUUCUCUUCGAGAUGAUCAGGUUGGGAGGACAUUGUGGGAUGGCUAUCUCCCUGAAAGCAACGAACGUGACCGCAUCCUCUUGUUCUGCGCUCAACUUUACUUCCAUUAAGUUGUUGCUAAAGCUAGAGGGACCGCUGCGAUUUUCUGUCAAACCAGAGGAAGGUUGCGGCAAUAACAGGUCUGUGAUGCCCUUAGAUGUUCCGGGCUGCACACGUGCUACAAUGAUUAUUGCAGUAAGCAUCACGCAUUUCUUCCUUUUUGGAUGAAUUAGCCUGCUUCGAAACGAACGCGGGUAACCCUUCGAGUAAUGAUUUCCCAAUAGUGGGUGGCUAGGGGGAGUGGUUCUUUUUGUUCCUUCUCCUUCUAUUCCGCCACCCCUUGUCAAUUCACGGUGGGGACAGACCUUUGUUUGUGCGCCCACUUCCUCUUUUGGAAGAGGGCGUCGUAAUUGUUGGUCUCGGUCUCAACUAGGAAUGCCUUGUACGGGUCUUUGGUUCAACAAACCACCCGGAAUACGUCCCUGCCCUUUGUACACACCGCCCGUCGCUCUUACCGAUGGACUCCUCUGUGAGCUCGAGGGACUGCUGGCCCCAUUUUUUGAGGGUCUUUACAAACUUGAACGAACAGUGUGGUCUAAAGGAAAGAGAAGUCGAACAAGGCA
rnacentral:rRNA from 1 species